rnacentral:rRNA from 1 species
UUAGAGUUUGAUCCUGGCUCAGAACGAACGCUGGCGGCAGGCUUAACACAUGCAAGUCGAACGCCCCGCAAGGGGAGUGGCAGACGGGUGAGUAACACGUGGGAACGUGCCCAAAGGUACGGAACAACUCCGGGAAACUGGAGCUAAUACCGUAUGUGCCCGAAAGGGGAAAGAUUUGUCGCCUUUGGAUCGGCCCGCGUCUGAUUAGCUAGUUGGUAGGGUAAUGGCCUACCAAGGCGACGAUCAGUAGCUGGUCUGAGAGGAUGACCAGCCACACUGGGACUGAGACACGGCCCAGACUCCUACGGGAGGCAGCAGUGGGGAAUAUUGGACAAUGGGCGCAAGCCUGAUCCAGCCAUGCCGCGUGAGUGAUGAAGGCCUUAGGGUUGUAAAGCUCUUUCGCCAGGGACGAUAAUGACGGUACCUGGAUAAGAAGCUCCGGCUAACUUCGUGCCAGCAGCCGCGGUACGCCC